CCCUUGCGUGGAACCGGCUCAAUGACAAACAAGAAGAUUACGAGUGGCUUGAAGAAAGGAAAUAAACCAAUUGCUUAUUGAAUAAAGAGCUGAGGUUAACAGUUACAUGAAGAUAGCAGAUCACAUACAAAGAGGUCAAGAGGUCGAGCAGAGUUAUGUCGAGGGCACUCAACAUCUGCAGGAAGGCUCAAGUCCAGAUGUGUAGCAGGACUUCACUGUGUCACCAACAUAUUUUAAGUCAACAAAUACAAGCAUGUAGAAAAGUGUCGACAAAACAAACAUUUACAACAUUGAGAAUACCUUUAGUUGCACAAUGCACUGACCAGCGGUCAAUAUGGACAAAAUCUAGACUGAGUUUCAGAUGCAAGUGUGUGAGACAUUUCAGCGUAACGGAACAGAACCUAAGGAGCACAGAGAACUGUGAUAUACAAGAUUCCUCGGAAAAAAGUAGUCAAGAUGAUUGGCAACGGCCGUUAGAAAUGCCAGAGCCUGAAAUUGACUGGGAAUACAUUUGUGAAGAAAACAGGGAGAGUAUCACUGCUAACAUAGUUAACAGGAAGGGGAUCGGAGAUAUCAACCGAGUGUUACAUCUGAAAGCCCAGUUUGAUGCAACAGGUUAUGAAGAAACGAGACUGGAACUGUUAGAGGCUGCUUCAGAAAUCCCAAACAGAAGCAGUCCACAUUCGCCUAUAGGUGAUGAAUCCAAUACAAGACUGGUCGGUACUUUUGGGGAAAAGACCGAAUUCAAAGACUUUAAACCACAAAAGACUUCAAAAUUAGGUGAAGACCUCAAUCUGCUCCGGUUAAAUGAUCUUGGCAUCACGACUGGAACACGGUCAUACUACUUCCUGGCUGGACUAGCAGACCUAGAACAUGCCCUCAUACAACUAGCCAUAACCAAGUUAAUCUCUAGAGGGUUUGAACUUGUGACUGUUCCAGAAAUUAUUCAUCCAGCCGUUAUAGAAGCCUGUGGUUUUCAUAAAAAAGGGGAGGUAACCCAAGUCUACACACUGGAUAAAAAAAGUCAUGGGGAACAGUGUUUAAUAGGUACUGCAGAAAUGCCGCUUGCAGCUUUUUUUCUGAAUGAAGUUUUGGAGGAGAAGGAACUCCCUAGAAGGCUGUGUUCUGUGAGCCGAUGUUACAGAGCCGAGGGGGCUGGCAGGGAAGAGAAGCAGGGUAUCUACCGGGUACACCAGUUCACAAAGGUGGAGAUGUUUGGUGUUACAGGCUCCGGUACAGAAACAGAGGCUGACAACCUUCUCCUAGAGUAUGUUGAUAUUGAAAAAGAAAUGUUCCUUGAUCUGGGACUGCAUUUCAGAAUCUUGGAAAUGCCUACCCAUGAACUUGGCGCUCCUGCAUACCGAAAAUUUGAUAUUGAAGCUUGGAUGCCUGCUUUUGGACUCUGGGGUGAGAUUUCCAGUGCCUCAAAUUGUACAGACUAUCAAAGUAGACGGCUUAACAUCAAAUACAGAAACAGUACAGGAGUUAACAAAUACGUACACACAGUGAAUGGUACAGCGUGUGCGGUACCCAGAAUGGUGAUGGCCAUUUUUGAGAACUUUCAAAACAAGGAUGGAAGCAUAAACAUCCCAGAGGUUCUACAGCCGUUCAUGGGUGGCAGGAAAGUGUUGACCAAGUCAGACGCCAUGCCAACCAUUCAGUGGAUCAAACAUGCCAAAGUGGAUUGGGAGUCCUAGUGAUUUUCUUGUGGAAUGUGGAAUACACUGCAUCUGAAAUCUGGACGGUGUGGAACAAUUGUCUUGUAAGGAAGACAGGACAACAUGGAAUGAUCGUUAAACAAAAAAUAUGUGAAGGAAUGUCCAUGAUCAGGAAACAAAACAAUAUGUAAUUUUCUGUGAAGAGAAAAUAGGAAUGUCCUUCCUUAAAAAUAUGAAGAAAAAUGAGUUGUGAUUGCUCAAGGAAAAUGUAUCCCGAUAAAUCUUCCACAAAGCAUAAAACAUUAAAGAUUAAAGAUGUGUCAAUGAUUGAUGACAACAGUUGUUUAGAUCAAGUCAAUGUUGGCCUACAUUGUCUCAGAUCAAGUCAAGUCCUACAUUGUCUUAGAUCAGGUCAAUGUGGACCUACAUUGUCUUAGAUCAGGUCAAUGUGGGCCUACAUUGUCUUAGAUCAGGUCAGUGUGGACCUACAUCGUCUUAGAUCAGGUCAAUGUGGGCCUACAUUGUCUUAGAUCAGGUCAAUGUGGACCUACAUUGUCUUAGAUCAGGUCAAUGUGGACCUACAUUGUCUUAGAUCCGGUCAAUGUGGGCCUACAUGUCUUAGAUCAGGUCAAUGUGAACCUACAUUGUCUUAGAUCAAGUCAAUUUGGACCUACAUUGUCUUAGAUCAGGUCAAUAUGGACCUACAUUGUCUUAGAUCAGGUCAAUUUGGGCCUACAUUGUCUUAGAUCAAGUCAAUGUGGACCUACAUUGUCUUAGAUCAGGUCAAUAUGGACCUACAUUGUCUUAGAUCAGGUCAAUGUGGUCCUACAUUGUCUUAGAUCAGGUCAAUGUGGACCUACAUUAUCUUAGAUCCGGUCAAUGUGGGCCUACAUGUCUUAGAUCAGGUCAAUGUGGGCCUACAUUGUCUAGAUCAAGUCAAUGUUGGCCUACAUUGUCUUAGAUCAAGUCAAUGUGGACCUACAUUGUCUUAGAUCAGGUUAAUAUGGACCUUC